rnacentral:rRNA from 1 species
AUUGAACGCUGGCGGCAGGCCUAACACAUGCAAGUCGAGCGGAUGAAGGGAGCUUGCUCCUGGAUUCAGCGGCGGACGGGUGAGUAAUGCCUAGGAAUCUGCCUGGUAGUGGGGGAUAACGUCCGGAAACGGGCGCUAAUACCGCAUACGUCCUGAGGGAGAAAGUGGGGGAUCUUCGGACCUCACGCUAUCAGAUGAGCCUAGGUCGGAUUAGCUAGUUGGUGGGGUAAAGGCCUACCAAGGCGACGAUCCGAAACUGGUCUGAGAGGAUGAUCAGUCACACUGGAACUGAGACACGGUACAGACUCCUACGGGAGGCAGCAGUGGGGAAUAUUGGACGAUGGGCGAAAGCCUGAUCCAGCAAUGCCGCGUGUGUGAAGAAGGUCUUCGGAUUGUAAAGCACUUUAAGUUGGGAGGAAGGGCAGUAAGUUAAUACCUUGCUGUUUUGACGUUACCAACAGAAUAAGCACCGGCUAACUUCGUG